rnacentral:rRNA from 1 species
GACGAACGCUGGCGGCGUGCCUAACACAUGCAAGUCGAACGGAGAAUCAGCAAUGGUUCUUAGUGGCGAACGGGUGAGUAACGCGUAGACAACCUGCCUUCUAGAUGGGGACAACACUGCGAAAGUGGUUCUAAUACCGAAUGUUGUAAUAAGCCUGCAUGGGCUUGAUACUAAAGGUGGCCUCUAUUUAUAAGCUACCACUAGAAGAUGGUUCUGGGUCUGAUUAGCUAGUUGGUGAGGUAAUGGCUCACCAAGGCGAUGAUCAGUAGCCGGUCUGAGAGGAUGAACGGCCACACUGGGACUGAGACACGGCCCAGACUCCUAAGGGAGGCAGCAGUGGGGAAUCUUCCGCAAUGGACGAAAGUCUGACGGAGCAACGCCGCGUGAGUGAAGAAGGUUUUCGGAUCGUAAAGCUCUGUCUUUGAGGACGAAUGUGUUUAAUGUGAAUAAUGCUAAAUAAUGACGGUACUCGAGGAGGAAGCCACGGCUAACUACGUGCCAGCCGCCGCAGUAA